rnacentral:rRNA from 1 species
AACGCGAAGAACCUUACCAGGUCUUGACAUGCACUGGACCGGCGCUGAAAGGCGCUCUUCCCGCAAGGGACCGGUGCACAGGUGCUGCAUGGCUGUCGUCAGCUCGUGUCGUGAGAUGUUGCGUUAAGUCGCGCAACGAGCGCAACCCCUGUCCUUAGUUGCCAUCAUUCAGUUGGGCCCUCUAAGGGGACUGCCGGUGAUAAGCCGCGAGGAAGGUGGGGAUGACGUCAAGUCCUCAUGGCCCUUACGGGCUGGGCUACACACGUGCUACAAUGGCGGUGACAGUGGGACGCAAUGGGGUAACCCUGCGCAAAUCUCAAAAAGCCGUCUCAGUUCGGAUUGUGCUCUGCAACUCGAGCACAUGAAGUUGGAAUCGCUAGUAAUCGCAGAUCAGCACGCUGCGGUGAAUACGUUCCCGGGCCUUGUACACACCGCGCAUA